UACGUAGGGGGCGAGCGUUGUCCGGAAUCAUUGGGCGUAAAGAGCGUGUAGGCGGCUCGGUAAGUCCGCUGUGAAAGUCCAGGGCUCAACCCUGGAAUGCCGGUGGAAACUGUCGAGCUAGAGUCCGGAAGAGGCGAGUGGAAUUCCUGGUGUAGCGGUGAAAUGCGUAGAUAUCUGGAGGAACACCGGUGGCGAAGGCGGCAUCCUGGACCGGCAUUGACGCUGAGGCGCGAAAGCCAGGGGAGCAAACGGG
rnacentral:rRNA from 1 species